GCCGGGGUGGCUCAGUGGAUAGAGCGUCGGCCUGCAGACCGAAGGGUCCCGGGUUCGAUUCCUGCCUUGGUG
rnacentral:tRNA from 1 species